UACGUAGGGGGCAAGCGUUGUCCGGAAUUAUUGGGCGUAAAGCGCACGUAGGCGGCUUCGCAAGUCGGAUGUGAAAUCCCUCGGCUCAACCGAGGACGUGCAUACGAAACUGCGGAGCUUGAGUGCUGAAGAGGAUCGCGGAAUUCCCGGUGUAGAGGUGAAAUUCGUAGAUAUCGGGAGGAACACCAGUGGCGAAGGCGGCGAUCUGGGCAGACACUGACGCUGAGGUGCGAAAAGCGUUGGGGAGCAAACAGG
rnacentral:rRNA from 1 species